GCGAGUGUAGCUCAGGGGUAGAGCACGACCUUGCCAAGGUCGGGGUCGAGGGUUCAAAUCCCUUCACUCGCUCAA
rnacentral:tRNA from 2 species